ensembl:rRNA 5S_rRNA 5S ribosomal RNA
GCCGCGACUCUCCCAGCCUGAAGGGGCCGGCUCGCGUCUGCCUUCGGAAGCUAAGCGGGGUCGGGCCCGGUUCACACCGGGAUGGGAGACCGCCCGGGAAUACCGGGUGCCGGCAGCU